rnacentral:rRNA from 1 species
GACGUAGGGCGCGAGCGUUGUCCGGAUUUAUUGGGCGUAAAGAGCUCGUAGGCGGCUUGUUGCGUCGACCGUGAAAACCCGGGGCUCAACUUCGGGCUUGCGGUCGAUACGGGCGGGCUAGAGUUCGGUAGGGGAGACUGGAAUUCCUGGUGUAGCGGUGAAAUGCGCAGAUAUCAGGAGGAACACCGGUGGCGAAGGCGGGUCUCUGGGCCGAUACUGACGCUGAGGAGCGAAAGCGUGGGAAGCGAACAGG